UCAGUUCGGAUUGCAGCCUGCAACUCGGCUGCAUGAAGCUGGAAUCGCUAGUAAUCGCAGAUCAGAAUGCUGCGGUGAAUACGUUCCCGGGUCUUGUACACACCGCCCGUCACACCAUGGGAGUUGGAAAUGCCCGAAGUCAGUGACCGAACCGAAAGGAAGGAGCUGCCGAAGGUGGAGCCGAUGACUGGGGUGAAGUCGUAACAAGGUAAC
rnacentral:rRNA from 1 species